rnacentral:rRNA from 1 species
AGAGUUUGAUCCUGGCUCAGGAUGAACGCUAGCGGCAGGCCUAACACAUGCAAGUCGAGGGGUAGAAUUAGCUUGCUAAUUUGAGACCGGCGCACGGGUGCGUAACGCGUAUGCAAUCUACCUUGUACAGGGGGAUAGCCCAGAGAAAUUUGGAUUAAUACUCCAUGGUAUAAUUGAAUCGCAUGGUUUGAUUAUUAAAGUUCCAACGGUACAAGAUGAGCAUGCGUCCCAUUAGCUAGUUGGUGUGGUAACGGCAUACCAAGGCGACGAUGGGUAGGGGUCCUGAGAGGGAGAUCCCCCACACUGGUACUGAGACACGGACCAGACUCCUACGGGAGGCAGCAGUGAGGAAUAUUGGUCAAUGGUCGGAAGACUGAACCAGCCAUGCCGCGUGCAGGAAGACGGUCCUAUGGAUUGUAAACUGCUUUUGUACGGGAAGAAACACUCCUUCGUGAAGGAGCUUGACGGUACCGUAAGAAUAAGGAUCGGCUAACUCCGUGCCAGCAGCCGCGGUAAUACGGAGGAUCCAAGCGUUAUCCGGAAUCAUUGGGUUUAAAGGGUCCGUAGGCGGUUUAGUAAGUCAGUGGUGAAAGCCCAUCGCUCAACGGUGGAACGGCCAUUGAUACUGCUAGACUUGAAUUAUUAGGAAGUAACUAGAAUAUGUAGUGUAGCGGUGAAAUGCUUAGAGAUUACAUGGAAUACCAAUUGCGAAGGCAGGUUACUACUAAUGGAUUGACGCUGAUGGACGAAAGCGUGGGUAGCGAACAGGAUUAGAUACCCUGGUAGUCCACGCCGUAAACGAUGGAUACUAGCUGUUGGGGGUAACUUCAGUGGCUAAGCGAAAGUGAUAAGUAUCCCACCUGGGGAGUACGUUCGCAAGAAUGAAACUCAAAGGAAUUGACGGGGGCCCGCACAAGCGGUGGAGCAUGUGGUUUAAUUCGAUGAUACGCGAGGAACCUUACCAAGGCUUAAAUGUAGAUUGACCGGUUUGGAAACAGACCCUUCGCAAGACAAUUUACAAGGUGCUGCAUGGUUGUCGUCAGCUCGUGCCGUGAGGUGUCAGGUUAAGUCCUAUAACGAGCGCAACCCCUGUUGUUAGUUGCCAGCGAGUAAUGUCGGGAACUCUAGCAAGACUGCCGGUGCAAACCGUGAGGAAGGUGGGGAUGACGUCAAAUCAUCAUGCCCCUUAUGACUUGGGCUACACACGUGCUACA